AGUGGCCUAGUGUGGGGACAUGUACGCAGACAGAUCCUUUGCCUGACAAUGGUCACUUCUGGGCAGCUCUGCCCAAGUGAUCUCCUGUCUCCUUCCAUGGAGUGGCGUGGACAAUUUGGGUCACACUGGCUGUGGAGAGGAGGGUGCCUUGUAGACUGUGAGGCAGCUCACGUCUGCUUCAGGUGACUCAGCAUACAGUGCUGAUAGUGAGCUCCUCACGCCAGGCUCCCGGGCUGACUAGGUGGUAGGCUGCGGUGGCUACAGCACCUCCAUUACACCUUACACCUGCUCAGAGGACACAGGACAGCUGUGACCAAGAGAGGUGUGGAUUUGUUUUCAGUCUGUCACAGAACUCUCCUGGGGAGCACAUUUCUCUGGAAAAACCACAAAAUUUGCCCAGCACUUCCCUUGCCCCAGAGCUCAGCCCACGGAGGCUGUGUAUAAGUUGUCCUUUGAGGAUCCAGUGGGAGCCGCCUCUUUGAACCCCACAGCACAGCACAUGGAUGCCAGGAGAAGUUAUUGAUGAAUGUUCAGUUUUUGUGGUGCUAGAAAUCAAACCCAGGGUCUUGUUCCUAUCAAGCAAAUGCUCAUUACCAGGAACAAAUCAAUGGCAACAAGUCAGCCAUACAGAUAACGUAGGUCCUCUGACCUGUGUCUACUACUAGUGGCAGUCACAUCUUUGCUAUUGUUUCCUUUUCCUUUUUUUAAUUUUACAUACUCACCAUUGCUCUCUUCAGACACACCAGAAGACGUCAGACUCCAUUGCAGAUGGUUGUGAGCCACCAUGUGGUUGCUGGGAACUGAACUCAGGACCUCUGGGAGCAUAGUCAGUGUUCUUAACCGCUGAGCCAUCUCUCCAGCCCUGCUAUUGUUUCAUAAACAAUGUCCCUUUGUGGAACUCAUGGUUCUUAGUUUCCCACUUGUGCAUAGUAAGAGCAGGUGCCCCAGGGUUGUGCUUUAGCUGAGAAACCUAGCUCCCACGUUGCCUGGCCUGACGUACUUGUGAUAUGGGUGUGUGGGUAUGCUCAGUAGCCUCAUGCAGCCCCUGUCCCCCAGGCACCUACAGGGGCCCCAGCAAACCCUGGAGGCCAUGCUGCGGCCCAAGGUCACCACACUGCCCGGCCAUAUCCAGGCUGUGUAUGUGCAGAACGUGGUAAAGCUGUACGCGUCCAUCCUGCAGCAGAAGGAGCAGGCCGCUGACACUGAGGCUGCACAAGAGGUCACCCAGCUACUGGUGGAGCGACUGCCACAGUUUGUGCAGAGCGCCGACCUGGAGGUGCAGGAGCGGGUAAGGCUGCAAACUGGAGGUUCUGCUCCUAGCUGAGACUAACCUUAACCUGGAAGUGGCUGUGUGUGCUCAUGCCCUGUGGGCCCCCACAACCCACACUCCAUAUACCACCACAGAGGUCCUCCAGCCAGGCAGCCUCCUACAGGUACCAUAGCUCCCUGCAUAGCACAUAACCCCAGUGCUGUUACCAGGAACACUCUGGAGACACCCUUGGCCCCCUUCCAAGUCCUUGGUCCCAGCAGAGCCAGUAGAUGGGACAGAUUUUUCUCCUUUUUCCGAAGUGAGUUGUUUGAGUCUCUAUCCUAGCUCUGCCCACCUGGGGCUUGGGGUCAGUGAGCAGGGACUGGGUGUGGAUGGGCCUGAGAGUCUGGGUAGGAGGUGGUGUGGGUGGGCAGGGCUCUACUGCUAUGUGGAAGAGCUCUUUUGGGACCAUCUUUGUCUGUUCUAGAGUAGGAGCUUGUAUGUGUCAGGCAUGUGUUGUGUCACUGAGUCACAACAUGCCAAAGGUCCUGGGCCGUUGUGACUCAAUACCUGAGUAUUGGGGCCCAGUGGCCAAAGCUGCUUUUGGCACCCCAUGGUAAUAUAGGCUGUCACUGAGCCAGGUGCCAUGUGGCUUCUGAUAGAUCUCAGGGGACCCUCCUUUGAAGAGGUUAGGUCUGCUUGUGAUUCAUCCAUGGUUGAGCUGUCCCAGGUUGAGCCCAGUGGGAAGUGUGAACCCACACUGAGCCACAUCUUGAUGUUUGUUGGGAUUGGUUGGGCAGCAUGGUAGCAAGGGCUGCCUAGUACAGCUGUGUCUGUUCAGAAUUAGAGCCAGCACAGGACUGAGUGGCCAUAGGUGGCUCCACAGGAGGUGACAUUACAUGUAGUCUUCUCCAUUUGAACUGAGCUCCCUCCUGUUCUGAUCCUGAUAAGGCUUGUCUUUCCUUGUCUGAGAUACUUACAGACAUAAGUAGGUCUAUAGCUGAUGUACAUGGAUAGAGGCCAGGGACCAACACUCCAUGCUCAGAUAUCUGGCCGAGUCCUCUCCAGUGGCUGAGUGGCUCUGGACAGGUACCCACUCUUGGCUGCUGCUCUCCUAGGCGUCUUGCAUCCUGCAGCUGGUCAAGCAUGUCCAGAAGCUGCAAGCAAAAGGUGUGCCGGUGGCUGAGGAAGUGAGCGCCUUGUUUGCUGGUGAACUGAACCCUGUGGCCCCCAAGGCUCAGAAAAAGGUCCCAGUUCCUGAAGGGUGAGGAUUGGGGAUGUGGAAGAGAGAUGGCUGGAGCCACUGAAAUGGUCCCUGAUCUAGGAAAUUAGAAAAAGGCUUUCAUCCCCCAUGACCUGCCAUCAGCCAAGGUGACAAGAAGUGGCCUUGGGACUAGACAGCCUGCCCUUGCUCACUCACUUAAAGUCACUCCAUCCAGGGACCGUUGCACCUCCUGUUCCCUGGUCCUCCAGGAGUCCCCUUGUCAGAUUCCAUGGUUCCUGUAUUUUUCCUAUUCUGUUCCUCCCAAGCUUCCCACCUUUCCAUCUCUGUGUCUCCUGUCAGGAGGCUGUGGCACCCCUGGUUGUUUAAUCCCUGGGGUACUGGUGUGGAAAGAUGUCUCUUUUGCAUGGUGGCCCUCUGCCAAUGAUUAAUGCUUAACAGUGGUCAUGGUAGGACAACACAGAGGAGACAAGGACACUGUGUGAUCCCCUUUGUACUUCCAGCCUAGACCUGGAUGCCUGGAUCAAUGAGCCACCUUCAGACAGUGAGUCUGAGGAUGAGAAACCCAAGGCCAUCUUCCAUGAAGAAGAGCCGAGGCACACUCGGCGCCGGCAGCCUGAGGAGGAUGAAGAGGAGCUGGCUCGGCGGCGAGAGGCCCGGAAGCAGGAACAAGCCAACAACCCCUUCUACAUCAAGAGCUCCCCAUCCCCGCAGAAGGCAAGUGGUAUCCUUGAGCAUCCCUCCCCAGCUGCCAAGCUGAAGCCUAAGAGAAUGAUGUAAUCAUGGCAGUGCCUUGUGGGGCGGGGGUUUGUGCCUGGGUAGUCUCAGCUGUAGCUGAGCAGGGCUAUGCUGCAUCCAGGUCUUGAUGGAGAGCUCUGAAUGGUUUAGAUGAGGCCCCAGGGGCAGUGACCACUGCCUUGAGGAAGGCAUUCUACCCAGCUGGCUUAUUGUACCCACGGGAAGUGCUGGAUCCACGUGGACAGGUGCCUGGCCUGUUAGAUCCUCAUGUUCCUAAGGAGGUUUCAGCUUCUGUGGGCGGACCCUACAGUGGUAUUGGGUAAAGCCCUUGUGUAGCAUGGAUGAACCUUGGGUCCCAUCCACAGCACCACCUCAACCAAGUGUGGUCAUCUCAGCAGUCAGGAGGUAGAGAUGGAAUUCUCUAUUACCGUUGCCCUUGGCUACAUAGUUUUAAGCGAAACUAUGUGCCCCCAAAAUCCCUGUGUCCAAGGAAGGACAGAAAAGAGAAGAGAAGAGAAG
rnacentral:lncRNA from 1 species